GACGAACGCUGGCGGCGUGCCUAAUACAUGCAAGUUGAGCGCUGAAGGUUGGUACUUGUACCAACUGGAUGAGCAGCGAACGGGUGAGUAACGCGUGGGGAAUCUGCCUUUGAGCGGGGGACAACAUUUGGAAACGCAUGCUAAUACCGCAUAAAAACUUUAAACACAAGUUUUAAGUUUGAAAGAUGCAAUUGCAUCACUCAAAGAUGAUCCCGCGUUGUAUUAGCUAGUUGGUGAGGUAAAGGCUCACCAAGGCGAUGAUACAUAGCCGACCUGAGAGGGUGAUCGGCCACAUUGGGACUGAGACACGGCCCAAACUCCUACGGGAGGCAGCAGUAGGGAAUCUUCGGCAAUGGACGAAAGUCUGACCGAGCAACGCCGCGUGAGUGAAGAAGGUUUUCGGAUCGUAAAACUCUGUUGGUAGAGAAGAACGUUGGUGAGAGUGGAAAGCUCAUCAAGUGACGGUAACUACCCAGAAAGGGACGGCUAACUACGUG
rnacentral:rRNA from 1 species